rnacentral:ncRNA from 1 species
GUUCAAAUGAGGAAGGGCUUACGGUGGAUACCUAGGCACCCAGAGACAAGGAAGGGCGUGGUAAGCGACGAAAUGCUUCGGGGAGUUGAAAAUGAGCAUAGACUCGGAGAUUCCCGAAUAGGUUAACCUUUUUAACUGCUGUUUAAUCCAUGGGUAGGCAAGAGACAAUCUGGCGAACUGAAACAUCUUAGUAGCCAGAGGAAUAUAAAGAAAAAGUUAUUCCCGUAGCAGUGGCGAGCGAAAUGGGAGCAACCUAAACCGUGAAAAUGGGGUUGUGGGAGAGCCCAAUAUAAGAUUUGUGCUACUAGGCGAAGCAGUUGAGUUCUGCACCCUAGAUGGUGAGAGUCUAGUAUCCAAAAGCAUCAUUGGAUUAUGCUCUAACCCAAGUAGCAUGGGGCAUGUGGAAUCCUGUGUGAAUCAACAAGGACCACCUUGCAAGGCUAAAUACUCCUGGGUGACCGAUAAAGAAGUAGUACCGUGAGGGAAAGGUGAAAAGAACCCCCAUCAGGGAGUGAAAUAGAACAUGAAACCAUAAGCUCUCAAGCAGUGGGAGGAAAAUGAUAUCUCUGACCGCGUGCCUGUUGAAGAAUGAUCCGACGACUUAUAUGCAAUGGC